rnacentral:lncRNA from 1 species
CCUUUACUCUUUUAAGUGACUAUUUUGCCACAUGAAUCUUUAAAUUUAAAAUGAAAAGGUAUAUAUAAAAGUGUCGUGGUUUGACACGGAAAGAUAAUUUUUCCCGGAAGGAAGAGGUCAAUUUAGAUAUUGACCAAUUGAAAGUAGACACGCCUCUGAGAACACAGAGGGGUUGAAAGCAGAAUUCCCAGGGGAACUCACUCUCUUUGGUUCCGGUCAGCGUGCAGUGCAAACCUCCCCUGCCCAGCCACAAGCUGGGUGGGGGAGGGGAAGCCCAUGGCCUGAGAAAGAGUUCCUCUCCCAAGAGGGAGAGAGAAAGCCGCAAAGAAGGAGGAGCGGGGGGAGCUGCUGCAAGGUGCCCAGUUGUGUGGGAGUUGCUGAAUGUCCGGGCAUCGAGCCAUCCUGGGAGUUCGGACUUUUAACCCUUCCUUGAGAAAUGAAAGCUUGUGAAUUUUCCUUUCCCCUCCUCGGUUUGAAAGAGAAGAAGAGGGACACCUUGGACCCUGGGAUGGGAUGUUGGAAGGAGGAAUUCUGGAUGGGAGGGGGACAAGGAGUGGCUUUUGCCUGGACUUUUCCAUGUUAGCCACAACCUGAACCAAAUCUUCUCCUUCAAGAGGGACUGUGUUUUGGGAGGAUGCCAGUGAGUCAAGAGACCUGCUUCAGCUGGGAAAAAGACAAAAGUGGAGUGAACAGAGAAAAGGUUUGGGGGUUUGUGGUGGCGCCCCCUUGCCCUGGAAAGGAAAAGAGAAGAGAAGAUCUCUGUUCUUGAGCCCUCGGCCCCAGGGGAAAAUGGGGGGGGACUGUGGUCCCAAACAAUGAAAAACUGAACUGUUGUUUUCUCCCCUCUUGGCAGGGCAUCCUUGAAAGGAAAAAUCCUAAAGGCAGUCUGACCAUCCAUGCAUUGGUGGUGAGAGCACUGUGCAUGGAAAGGAGAAGGGUCACCAUGGCAAACUUUUUUCUCCGGGCGGUGCCAUGUGUGACAUGGAAACACAGGAUGUGGAGCUGUGUUUCUUGAGGGGUCUGUGGCACAGGAGAGACUCUGUUCCCUCGAUGGACUGAGUGUCGAUUGUUUGGAGGGUGGAAACCUGAUUGGGGUCCAGAUUGUGUCUCACUGUGGUUUGUUGGAGUUGGGUGGUGGGGGGGAGGAAUGUUUUGCAAGGGUUUCAUUUGGAUCUUUGUGUGGUUUUUUUUUCCCUUCUUUAGUUUUCUCUUUUCUUUUGUAGUGGUAGUUUAAUAAAGUUUUUUCCUGUUAUCA